UGUGGCCAGCAGGCCCUUAGUGGUGCUGGGGACUCACAGGAGACCGCCGGGGUCAACUCGGAGGAAGGUGGGGACGACGUCAAGUCAUCAUGCCCCUUAUGUCUUGGGCUGCACACGUGCUACAAUGGCCGGUACAAUGAGCUGCGAUACCGUGAGGUGGAGCGAAUCUCAAAAAGCCGGUCUCAGUUCGGAUUGGGGUCUGCAACUCGACCCCAUGAAGUCGGAGUCGCUAGUAAUCGCAGAUCAGCAUUGCUGCGGUGAAUACGUUCCCGGGCCUUGUACACACCGCCCGUCACGUCACGAAAGUCGGUAACACCCGAAGCCGGUGGCCCACACCCUUGUGGAGGGAGUCGUCGAAGGUGGGACUGGCGAUUGGGACGAAGUCGUAACAAGGUAGCCGUACCGGAAGUG
rnacentral:rRNA from 1 species